rnacentral:rRNA from 1 species
AUACGUAGGUGACAAGCGUUAUCCGGAUUUACUGGGCGUAAAGGGCGUGUAGGCGGUCUUGCAAGUCAGAAGUGAAAUUCCUGAGCUCAACUCGGGCGCUGCUUCUGAAACUGCAGGACUUGAGUGCUGGAGGGGAUAGCGGAAUUCCUAGUGGAGCGGUAAAAUGCGCAGAUAUUAGGAAGGACACCGGUGGCGAAGGCGGCUAUCUGGACAAUAACUGACGUUGAGGCGCGAAAGCGUAGGAAGCAACCAGUAUUAUAUGCCCUGAUAGUCCACGCCGUAAACGAUGAAUACUAGGUGUAGGGAGUAUCGACUCCCUCUGUGCCGCAGUUAACACAAUAAGUAUUCCGCCUGGGGAGUACUGCCGCAAGGUUGAAACUCAAAUGAAUUGACUUGG